rnacentral:rRNA from 1 species
UGGGGAAUAUUGGACAAUGGGCGCAAGCCUGAUCCAGCCAUGCCGCGUGAGUGAUGAAGGCCCUAGGGUUGUAAAGCUCUUUCACCGGUGAAGAUAAUGACGGUAACCGGAGAAGAAGCCCCGGCUAACUUCGUGCCAGCAGCCGCGGUCAUACGAAGGGGGCUAGCGUUGUUCGGAUUUACUGGGCGUAAAGCGCACGUAGGCGGAGUUUUAAGUCAGGGGUGAAAUCCCGGGGCUCAACCCCGGAACUGCCUUUGAUACUGGAAGUCUUGAGUAUGGUAGAGGUGAGUGGAAUUCCGAGUGUAGAGGUGAAAUUCGUAGAUAUUCGGAGGAACACCAGUGGCGAAGGCGGCUCACUGGACCAUUACUGAAGCUGAGGUGCGAAAGCGUGGGGAGCAAACAGG